rnacentral:rRNA from 1 species
GACGAACGCUGGCGGCGUGCUUAACACAUGCAAGUCGAGCGGUAAGGCCCUUUCGGGGGUACACGAGCGGCGAACGGGUGAGUAACACGUGGGUGACCUGCCCUCAGCUCUGGGAUAAGCCUGGGAAACCGGGUCUAAUACCGGAUAUGACUCCAUGACGCAUGUUGUGGGGUGGAAAGCCUUGUGCGGCUGAGGAUGGGCCCGCGGCCUAUCAGCUUGUUGGUGGGGUGAUGGCCUACCAAGGCGACGACGGGUAGCCGGCCUGAGAGGGCGGUCGGUCACACUGACACUGACAUACGGGUCAGACUCCUACGGGAGGCAGCAGUCGGGAAUUUGGGCAAUGGGCGAAAGCCUGACCCAGCAACGCCGCGUGAAGGAUGAAAUCCCUCGGGA